AGGUUUCGUCGUCCAGAAAGAAAAGAAAAAGGGACUCAAAAGACGAUCAAUUAUCCAAGAAAAUAAAAGCUAUAGAAGCUGCUGUUGCGGCCGAAAAGCAGCAAAGAGAAGCUGCUGUUGCGGCAGAAAAGCAGC
rnacentral:sRNA from 1 species